rnacentral:rRNA from 1 species
GAUGAACGCUGGCGGCGUGCUUAACACAUGCAAGUCGAACGAUGAACCGGGUGCUUGCACUCGGGGAUUAGUGGCGAACGGGUGAGUAACACGUGAGCAGCCUGCCCCUGACUCUGGGAUAAGCGCUGGAAACGGCGUCUAAUACUGGAUAUGUCCCGUCACCGCAUGGUGUGCGGGUGGAAAGAUUUUUCGUUUGGGGAUGGGCUCGCGGCCUAUAAGCUUGUUGGUGAGGUAAUGGCUCACCAAGGCGUCGACGGGUAGCCGGCCUGAGAGGGUGACCGGCCACACUGGGACUGAGACACGGCCCAGACUCCUACGGGAGGCAGCAGUGGGGAAUAUUGCACAAUGGGCGGAAGCCUGAUGCAGCAACGCCGCGUGAGGGAUGACGGCCUUCGGGUUGUAAACCUCUUUUAGCAGGGAAGAAGCGAGAGUGACGGUACCUGCAGAAAAAGCACCGGCUAACUACGUGCCAGCAGCCGCCGUAA